rnacentral:rRNA from 1 species
GAUGAACGCUGGCGGCGUGCUUAACACAUGCAAGUCGAACGAAGCACCUUAUUCUGAUUUCUUCGGAAUGAAAAAUUUGGUGACUGAGUGGCGGACGGGUGAGUAACGCGUGGGUAACCUGCCUCAUACAGGGGGAUAACAGUUAGAAAUGACUGCUAAUACCGCAUAAGACCACAGCACCGCAUGGUGCAGGGGUAAAAACUCCGGUGGUAUGAGAUGGACCCGCGUCUGAUUAGGUAGUUGGUGGGGUAACGGCCUACCAAGCCGACGAUCAGUAGCCGACCUGGGAGGGUGACCGGCCGCAUUGGGACUGAGACACGGCCCAAACUCCUACGGGAGGCAGCAGUGGGGAAUAUUGCACAAUGGGGGAAACCCUGAUGCAGCGACGCCGCGUGAGCGAUGAAGUAUUUCGGUAUGUAAAGCUCUAUCAGCAGGGGAGAAAAUGACGGUACCUGACUAAGAAGCACCGGCUAAAUACGUGCCAGCCGCCGCAGUAA